rnacentral:lncRNA from 1 species
GGUUGAUAUGGCAUGGUUGCAAACUUCAUCUAUUUCUAAUUCUCCACACUAUCACAUAAUCUAAAUCCAAAUCUGCUGAAUAUAUGGAGGAGUCAUGAGGAUUCACAGUUGCAACAGCAAGGACAUCAGCAAUUUUGUUUUCUCUUACAGGCCAUCUAAUCUAAUCAUUUCAAAUAUGAGUUGGCUGAACCUAUCCAUUUCCAUGCAUACGAGUUGCCAGAGGCUGGAAAAUCUUAUAAAUGAUGGGUGCACUAUGGAUACUUCUCAACAGAAAGAUGUUCAGAUAUUCAGUAAUUCUGAUGAUACUGACCCAACACUAUCAGCCUAGCAAAUGCUGCUUUGUUUGUGAAUGGCUUGACAUUAAUGAAAAACCAAGGAAAGUUUGAUUAAUAACAGC